UCCUUGGUGGUCCAGUGGCCAAGACUCUGAGCUCCCAAUUCAGGGGACCCAGGUUCAAUCCCUGAUCAGAGAA
rfam:TPA: Bos taurus chromosome 10, whole genome shotgun sequence.